UAUCGUAAUAUACAGUUUUCUCAAAAUAGCUUACUUAUCUGGACAAAUGUGCAUUCAAUGUGUGUUUUAUCAUACUCUGUCUUUAGUUCUUUAACUUGUAUGUCAUAAAGGUGUGUGUUUGCUUUAGCUACUUAAGAAAAUUAAAAUCUCUCUUUCUAAACAAGUAUAAACUAAAAACACCCAUCUCUUUCUCUCUUCAGGGGAAGAAAUAAUAUCUAUACAGAGAGGUUGCAACUUACCUGCGCUUAACAGAUGCACCUCCUGCUGUUCCCUAUUUCACUGUCCUUUCUGUAAUUCUGAUUUUUUUUCAAGCCCUCAAAGAAAAGUAAAGUAUAAACUCAUCUUAAGCUUCACUUUUCUAGGGCAGUCGUCCAUGAAGAUUAUACAAUCCACCAGUGUGGUCUAGGUUGUGUGCCACAAUUACAACUACCACUAGAAUCUACAGGAGUCAUGCUGUUAAGAAAUAAAAGUCAUGGUGUUAAUAAAUAUUUUUGUGAACAACAAUA
rnacentral:lncRNA from 1 species